AAAACGGCCCUUUUCAGGGCCAACAAUUCUAUUUCAAAAUCAAAA
rfam:Agrilus planipennis Contig63363, whole genome shotgun sequence.